AUCUGGGCGGCGGAAUUCAGGAUGGCUGGCGUGUCUUCGUGGCACGUCGGUCGUUUGAUAUUUCCGUCGCCGAUUACCCGCAGACGUCGCGACCUGUUCGCGGUCGGCCCCUGCUCGGAGGAGCCGCGUUCGAGCUCGUUGUGUGCGCGUUUCGGCGUGCAACACGGCGAAGACGCGGAUCUCUGGCUGGCCGUCGGACAGUAUGCUUAACGGUGUCCGGUGUCGUCGUCUCGUACGCGCGCGCACCGGUACCGGUCAGCGACGAAUUCUUCGGGCCUCUUUCCGACCCGUCUUGAAACACGGACCAAGGAGUCUAACAUGCGCGCGAGUCGCGGGGUGUCGAGCGUACUUCGGUACGUUCGUUACGUUGCGAAACCCGUAUAUGUCGAAGGCGUAAUGAAAGUGAAUGGGGAAGAUGGUGUUCCGAGUUCACGUUCCGCGAUCGUCGGUAUCGCGGCCGGACACCCGCAUUCCCGGGGCGUCUCAACGGCCCGUCGCUGAUGCGGACAGUCGUCUCUCGGGGCGGCUGUCGGUCGGCGACGAACCGA
rnacentral:rRNA from 1 species